UGGGGAAUAUUGCACAAUGGGCGCAAGCCUGAUGCAGCCAUGCCGCGUGUGUGAAGAAGGCCUUCGGGUUGUAAAGCACUUUCAGCGAGGGGGAAGGUGGUGAGCUUAAUACGCUCAUCAAUUGACGUUACUCGCAGAAGAAGCACCGGCUAACUCCGUGCCAGCAGCCGCGGUAAUACGGAGGGUGCAAGCGUUAAUCGGAAUUACUGGGCGUAAGGCGCACGCAGGCGGUUUGUUAAGUCAGAUGUGAAAUCCCCGGGCUCAACCUGGGAACUGCAUUUGAAACUGGCAAGCUAGAGUCUCGUAGAGGGGGGUAGAAUUCCAGGUGUAGCGGUGGAAUGCGUAGAGAUCUGGAGGAAUACCGGUGGCGAAGGCGGCCCCCUGGACGAAGACUGACGCUCAGGUGCGAAAAGCGUGGGGCAGCAAACAGGAUUAGAUACCCUGGUAGUCCACGCUGUAAAACGAUGUCGAUUUUGGAGGUUGUGCCCUUGAGGCGUGGCUUCCGGAGCUAACGCGUUAAAUCGACCGCCUGGGGAGUACGG
rnacentral:rRNA from 1 species